UCCCAGACUCCUACGGGAGGCAGCAGUGGGGAAUAUUGCACAAUGGGGGAAACCCUGAUGCAGCAACGCCGCGUGAGUGAAGAAGUAUUUCGGUAUGUAAAGCUCUCUCAGCAGGGAAGAAAAUGACGGUACCUGAGUAAGAAGCCCCGGCUAACUACGUGCCAGCAGCCGCGGUAAUACGUAGGGGGCAAGCGUUAUCCGGAUUUACUGGGUGUAAAGGGAGCGUAGACGGCGAUACAAGUCUGAAGUGAAAGCCCGGGGCUCAACCCCGGGACUGCUCUGGGAACUGUGCGGCUGGAGUGCGGGAGGGGCAGGCGGAAUUCCUGGUGUAGCGGUGAAAUGCGUAGAUAUCAGGAGGAACACCGGCGGCGAAGGCGGCCUGCUGGACCGCGACUGACGUUGAGGCUCGAACGCGUGGGGAGCAAACAGGAUUAGAUACCCUCGUAA
rnacentral:rRNA from 1 species